rnacentral:lncRNA from 1 species
CACGUGUACUAAGUUUGAAGUCGAUUGGACUUCAACUUCAUCAAAAACUACCUUGACCAAAAACUUUAACCUGGAGCGGGACAGACGGACGAACGAACAGACAGACGGACGGACGGACGAACAGACGCACAGACCAGAAAACAUAAUGCCCCUCUACUAUCGUAGGUGGGGCAUAAAAAUGUGGUGCACACUGUUAAAUAACCCGCUACGCGCGUUAUUCAGUAUGCACCAAAUUUUUUAUGUUAUUUCUUCAUAGACAGAAAAAAUAUUACAGUCAUUCCUUAAAU